rnacentral:rRNA from 1 species
AUUAAACGCUGGCGGCAUGCCUUACACAUGCAAGUCGAACGGCAGCACGGGGGCAACCCUGGUGGCGAGUGGCGGACGGGUGAGUAAUACAUCGGAACGUGCCCUGGAGUGGGGGAUAACGCAGCGAAAGCUACGCUAAUACCGCAUAUUCUGUGAGCAGGAAAGCAGGGGAUCGCAAGACCUUGCGCUUUGGGAGCGGCCGAUGUCGGAUUAGCUAGUUGGUGGGGUAAAGGCCUACCAAGGCGACGAUCCGUAGCGGGUCUGAGAGGAUGAUCCGCCACACUGGGACUGAGACACGGCCCAGACUCCUACGGGAGGCAGCAGUGGGGAAUUUUGGACAAUGGGCGGAAGCCUGAUCCAGCCAUGCCGCGUGAGUGAAGAAGGCCUUC